CGUCUAUAUACGUAUAGCAUAUCAAUAAGCGGAGGAAAAGAAACUAACUAGGAUUCCCUCAGUAACGGCGAGUGAAGCGGGAAGAGCUCAAAUUUGAAAUCUUCAAGGUUCUACCUUGACGAAUUGUAGUUUAAAGAAGUGUUUUCUGUUGGAGUUUUGGUAAAAGUUCUUUGGAAUAGGACAUCAUAGAGGGUGAGAAUCCCGUAUUUGACCAUUAUUUCCAACUUUGUGAUACACUUUCAAAGAGUCGGAUUGUUUGGGAAUGCAGUCCAAAAUGGGUGGUAAAUUUCAUCUAAAGCUAAAUACUGGCGAGAGACCGAUAGCGAACAAGUACCGUGAGGGAAAGAUGAAAAGAACUUUGAAAAGAGAGUUAAACAGUACGUGAAAUUGUCAAAAGGGAAGCGUUUGACACCAGUGUUGUUUUCUCGAAAAUCAAUUAAAAAAUGAUUGAUUUUGUGUUGUAUUGACUUCAUCAGCUUUCUGCACUUUUUUCAUUGUCUUUUUUAAUGCACUUUUCGUUUAACAAGUCAACAUCAGUUUCUUUUGUUGUAAAAGGGUCAUUGGAAGGUGGCUUUCUUUUCGGAGAAAGUGUUUAUAGCCUUUGCCUCUGCAAUCGGAGAGAUUGAGGUCUGCAGCGUAGAUCCUUCUGGAUUAGAUACAUUUGUGCUAAGUUAUAGCCUUUCAUAGACAACUUGUUGACUAUGAUCAGUCAUGUAGCUUACUCGCUUAUGCUAUUUUACCUACGCUUAGGAUGUUGAUCUGUAGUGCGUGCGC
rnacentral:rRNA from 1 species